rnacentral:lncRNA from 1 species
UUCCCUGGAUCACAUGGGCUGCGGGGGGCGGGUGGAUCGGGGGAGGGGAGGCGCGGGGAGCUUGCUGCGGCUCCUCACCCGGACCUGGGAGAAGACGCCCCCCACCCUCUCUAGUUCGCCCUCUCCAUUCAAGUUUGCCGGCCCCUGCCGCCGAGAUCCGGGAAUGGCACCAGCCGCCCGCCCUCCGCUGUGCCCUGUUUCCAGCCACCGCUCAGAAAUUUAGGUCAAGGACGUCGGGAGCAAACCCACACCCUGGCGCUCCUUUGGCGGCCCCCGAGACGCCCCAGGAUCGGGGGGCUUCAGGAUGGCGGAGACCCUCCUGCACAAACACCAGCCACAAGUUUUAUUUUCCUUUUGCGCUGGAAGUUCUCUCUGGCUCUGGCUCCACACCGGCACGUCUUGCGCGGUUCCCCGCCCUUCCCCAGUAGAGGAUUAGGAGACAAAGGAAUACACUCAACACCAAAACUGAACCAAAUCCACUGUGGGCUUUGGAAAAAUGGAAUAUUGGGAAAAUCUCAACACCAGCCAUAGCCUUGAGUGACCAGACCCUCAGUCUCCCUGUUCCCUAAAUUGCAGUAAUUCCUCCUUGACAGGAUUGAUGUGGUGAAGCUCACUCAAUGUAGCCCCUGCAUCAGGAGAAUUCAAGCAGCACAAUAUCAGUCCUCAACCCUCUGAAAGUCUCAACAGCCCAAGACAAUGUUGGACACUUCCUUCUUCAAACUCAAUCUUCCAGGAUGGGUUUAAACACAUGGUGAUGCCACUCAAAUUGAAAUCUCCAGCCCCACCCUUCCUGAAGAGCUCCAGGCUCUGGUCAAUUUCCUAUUCAACAUCUCCACUUAGCCUUUCUAAAGGAAGCCCAAGUUCAAAUCCAUCUUUCUUGCUGCUGCAUCCCAGAUCUCCCACCUGAGGCCCUGCAACAGCUUACAAAACAGUCUUCCCACAUACACCCUUACUCCACUUACAUGCCUGGAAAUCUUUCCCAGACCUCUCUGACAGGGUCGAAUGCCCUUUGAUAUGCAGUUACCUUACCAGAACGUCCUCUGUGUACCUUACCCUGUAUGAUCAUUUGCUUUAUUGCCCAUCUCCUCUAAGCCAGAAGCUCCCGUGCCUUUCUGCUCUCCAUGUACUAGCACAGUGCCUGCUGGCGCACGGUUGACGCUCAAUAAAUAAUGAUUGACUGAAUGAGUGAGUGGAUGAAUGAAUGAAUGAUGGCCAACAUUUAAUUUCAUUCUAGGAUUCUUUUUGUAUUCAUGUUCAUAAGUCAAAUUGGCUGCAGUUUUUCCUUUUCUUACUGCCUUUGUCUGGUUAUACUGGUCUCAUAAAAUGAACCGGUAAAUGUUCCUUCUUUUUUCAUUUUCUGGAACAGUGUGUGUAAGAUUGGAAUUAUGUGUUCCUUGAAUGUUUGGUAGUUUUGCAGGUAAAUUGUCUGGGUCUGGGAUAGACAUUUCGUGGGUUGAUUUUUAACUACUGAUUCCAUUUCUUUAAUGCUCGUAGAUCUCUUCAGGUUUUCUGUUUUCUUCUUGAAUCUAUUUUUAUACACUAUGUUUUUCAAGGAAAUUAUCCAUACCAUCUAGGUUUUCAAAUGUGUUGACAAAAUGCUGUUCAUAGUUAUCUCUUAAUGUAUUUUAAUCUCUGCUCUAUCUAUCCAUAAUGUUUUUUUUUCAUUCUAAAUAUCAUUUUAUAUGUAUUUUUUCUUAUCUGGAUCAGCUGUGCCAGAGAUCUUUUUUUUUUACUAAUGUUUUCUUUCUACUUUCUAUUAGUGUUUCCAAAGAACCAGACUUUAGUUUCAAUAUUGUUUCUUUUUCUGUUCCAGUAAGUUUUGUUCUUAUAUAUUAUUAUAUAUUAUAUUGUUAUAUAUGGCACAAUAGAAAAUAUAUACUAUUAUAUAGUUUGUGAGAAUAUAAUAUGUAAUGUAAUAUUAAUAUAUAUCAUAUAGUAUUCCCUUCUGCUUCUGCUCUUUUUGGAUUUAUUCUGUUGCUCUUUUUUUUUUUUUUUGAAUUGUUGCCUUAGGUAAUUAAUUUUUAGCCAUCUGUUUUCUGAUUUUAACAUUUAAGACUACAGAUUUCACUUUAAGUACCACUCAAGCUAUAUUCCACAAGAUAUAUAGACUUUUUAUCACCAAUGAGGUAAAAAAAGUUUAGAUUUUAGGCUGGACACAAUGGCUUAUGCCUGUAAUCCCAGCACUUUGGGAGGCCAAGGUGGGAGGAUCACUUGAGCCCAGGAGUUUGAGACCAGCCUGGGCAACAUAGUGAGGCCCCAUCUCUGCAAAAGAAAACUUUUCUAGAAACUAGCCAGGUGUGCUAACAUGCACCUAUAGGCCCAGCUACUCAGGAGACUGAGGUGGGAGGAUCACUUGAGCCUGGGAAGUUGAGACUGUAGCGAGCCAUGAUCAUGUCACUACUCCAGCCUGGGUGACAGAGCGAGAUCCUGUUUAAAAAAAAAAAAAAAUUAGAUUUCAGAUACGAUUUCUUGUUUGACUAGUGAAUUAAUACAGGUGUAUUUGAGGGGUAUUUGAGGUUAUUCUUUAGUUACUAACGUCUAACUUAACUGAAUUAAGGUCAAAGAAUGUGAUCUAUAUGAAGCAGAUUCUUUGUUAUUUAUUGAAACUUGCUUUGGUGCAGUCAAUUUUUAUAAAUAUUUCAUGUAGAUUUGAAAAGAAUGUAUAUGCCUUAAUUUUUAAGUACAGCAUUUUAUAUGGGUCUAUUAGAUCAGACUUAUUAAUUAUAUUGUCUAGAUUUCCUGUAGCCUUACUAAUAUUUUGUCAGCUUGACCUGUUGGUUUUUAUAGAAGUACAUUAAAAUUUCUAUAUGACUAGAUUUGCCAGUUUCUCCUGUAAUUCUCUCAAAUUUUGCUGUAUUUUAAAAGUAUGUUGUCAGGUGCAUCAAAAAGAACUGUUAAAAUUUCCCACUGUAACUAUACAUUUUCUGCUUCUCAUACUUUUUGCUUUGUGUAUUUUAAGGCCUUGUUAUUCAGUGCAUACGAGCUUAGAUUUGCUAUUUUCCUAGGAAUUAUUCCUUUAAUAUUGGCACAGAAGAUACUUAUCCCUAAUGCCUUUUGCUUUAAAGUCUACUUUGUCUGUAAUAAAUGUAACUACUCUUUUAAUUAGCCCUUCACUUAUAGAUCUUUCUCUUUCCCUCUUUCCUUUUACUUUGAACCUUUCCAUGUCCCAAAUUUUUUGUUCAGUCUCCUGUAAAUAGCAUAUAGUUAGCUCUGGUUCAUUAUUGUGCUAACUAGUAAGUUUAGUCCAUUUACAUUUAUUGUGAUUGCUGAUAUUUUUAAAGAUCACAAAAUAUCACAAUUUAGGGGCACAAAAAUAUAUUAGUCACAAUCUCUAGUAUAACACACUAUCAUCAUUGUGUAUACUCAUGGCCCUAUUUUAUUUUAUUUGCUGAUAUCAUGAAUACCUGUAAACCUGCUAUUCAACCAGAGAACUAAAACAGAAACAAUGACUUGACUUAUGUAACAUCUGCUUAUGUGUUCCUCCCUAUUUUGUUCCUCUAAAGUAACCACCAGUCUGAAUCUUGUAUUUGUUAUGAUUUUUCGCUUUUUA